rnacentral:rRNA from 1 species
GACGAACGCUGGCGGCGUGCUUAACACAUGCAAGUCGAACGGAAAGGCCCCUUUGGGGGUACUCGAGUGGCGGACGGGUGAGUAACACGUGAGUAACCUGCCCUUGACUUCGGGAUGACUUCAUGAAACUAGGUCUAAUACCGGAUAGGAAUCCUUGCUGCAUGGUGGGUGUGGGAAAGCUUCGGCGGGUUUGGGGGGACUCACGGCCUAUCAGGUUGUUGGUGGGGUAGGGGCUUACCAAGGCUUUGACGGGUAGGCGGCCUGGGAGGGUGAACGGCCAAAAUGGGACUGGGAAAAGGGCCCAGAUCCCAAGGGGGGCCGGCGGGGGGAAUAUUGCCACAAGGGGCGGAGCCCGAUGCAGGCACGCCGCGUGCGGGAUGACGGCCUUUGGGUUGUAAAACGGUUUCAGCAGGGGCGAAGGCGGUGGUGACGGUACCUGCAAAAGAAGCACCGGCUAACUACGUG